ACCAAUCAGAGCAACACAUUCACAGCAUAGAGAACAUCCCACAGCAAGAACAGGCAUACUGUUGCUCUAGAGAAAGCUUAGGAGGAGGCUGAGGUCUAAGAAUGUAUGUUAGCCAGGGCCUCCUCUACCUUACGUUGGCAGGCACCCUACUGGGACCCUUUCUGUGAGUCCUUGGGUGUCCAGACAUUUCACCUAGGAAGUAGGUAUGCAUCCAAGGGGUGCUACAUCCUGUUCCCCACCCUUUUCCCAGUCUCCUGCCUUGGAAUCAGAAAGUGUGGCUGCAGGCUUCUGCUGUGAACCUCCUUCAUCCUCAAAAGGUCUGAGAAACAGCUCCCUCUUCCUUUAUUGUGGCUCUGAUUCUCUCCAGAGACCAGAUCAUGCUGUAUCUCUCUGAUGCUAGGGCCUGAACUAUCCUCCGGGGUUCUGCCAUGCUGAUGCCCAUCCCUAUCUCUCUGUCCAUGACAGUACCAAACAAAGUCCUGAGUCACCAGUGAUCUGUCCCGGUGUCUUCCUGAACCAGCUCAUCUAAAACCUAACAGAGAGCCAGCAUCACAUUAGCGAAGGCCAACUUGAGGACUGUUAGAAUAAUGACAGGCACUUAAUCAAGCUGAAACACAUCUUAGCGGGGGCUGAGGUUGCUUGAAAGCCGGUAGGCAGCCCCGAGCUGUGAGCGCCCCUCAGACGCACUUUGGAGCGGCAGGAGUCGGGCACAGCUCUUCCCCCUGGAAGGCUCCCGCAGCCGGUCUGCAUGCAGCUGGGAUAAAUUCAGCCCAGGAGGAAAAUCAGCCCUUCCUCCCCCUCUCGCCUCCCAUUUUAGGUUUUAGGUACCACACAAGAUGGUGUCCCAUCUGAACCAGGGAUGCCUCAUGGUCCUUGGUGAAUGGAUAAUCCUAGUCUUGCUUUUUUUUUAAGCUUCUAGAAGUUUCCCUUCUGCGUCUAUUGAAUCCUUGGUUGGUAGGGCCAGUGGACAUGGAGGCUUGAGUGUGUGUAUCUGAGUAAGGACUGCAUAGGUGUUACCUCAGGAGGAAGAGGGCACUACAUCCAGGAAGACAUGGCUGGGCCCAGACAGAACGUGAGAUGGAAGUGUCCUCUUACCAGCUUCGAGAGCUGUGACCUGGACAUGUCAGAGGCUGAGGCCAUCUGAGAGAUCCAGCUCAGUGGAGGACCAACGCAUUUUAUUGUCCUGAUGCUAAAAUACUGGCAUGACUAUUAGAAACUGCCGCGCUGGGUCUUUUCUGUAGGCUGAACCAUGCCGACGGCUCUUAUCCACCACAAUAACCACCAGUUUGGCCACCUUUGACUUCAGGUGCACGCCUCCACUUACCACCACGCUGAGAAGCUCAAUGUUGCCCUGGCUGUGUGGCCAGCGAGGCGCCAUCUGCUGUCUCCUUUGGGCUCCGGUGGAAUAGCUUGAGAUGCUCUUCUUCUUCUUCUCACUGCGGCCUGAGAGGGUGCAGACAGGAGGCCUGUGCAGCUGCCCUGCGGUUUUGAGUGGCCCGCUGAGGAUCUGGACACUGCAUGGCCAGUGGGUGAGGAGGCGCCUCACCGCUCUGCUGCUGUGAUGGAGGCAUUCUGAAGGCACUGUGAUGCAGGACUGGGCUGCUUAAGUUACCGUACCCAAAUCAUACAGACGGGGUGACUGAACAGUGCCGCUCCAAGGUCAGAGCGCCCGUGGGAUUAGUUCCUGGAGAGCUCGUCCUCCAUGGCUGGCAGCCUCCUGUUCACGCCAUCGCCAUAGUCGCUUCUCCUCGACAAGCGAGCUUUGGGGGUUCUUUCCUUCUUCUGAGGACAUUGGUUAGCUCGGAUUAGGCCCCUGUGACCUCAUUCAACAUUAGUUACCUCAUGUUUCUACGUGUAGGCACAUUGGGUAUGAGGGCUUCAAGAUUUUGGGGGAACACAGUUAGUAUAGAUCAUGUACAGGCAGAGACACACGUGGGGAUGCAUUAAUGGAAUGAAUAUUCUGGUUGUAGAAGGCAUUUGAUUUAGAUUUAGAUCUGUGUUUUGUGAUCUCCAGGCUUCUGCGUUAUGAGGAAGAAGACAACAGAUACGAACCUUUAAGAAAAUACAUUUUUCUUUUAUCUUAAAAUGAUAUGUACAAUGGGAUUUUAUCCAGGUUGUGGUCAAUGGCUGGCAUGUCUACCCCUCCAUCAUCUCAUCCACAUCCACUUCUCUGUCUGCUCGCUUGCACUGAGAGAUUUCUAGAGCCACACUGAUGAAAUGCUUCUUUCUAGGUGCUGGAAUCUGAAGUGAUUUUGCCUGGGCUUUUCCUUGCACUUACCUCCAUGACCCCAAAUUUAUAAAAAGGGACACACAUACGUAUCCUUUCCAAGCAGAUGGUACUGAUGAAUUUUAUGUGCUGACAGUGCCUCUCAUGUGUACCCCUGCUUUGUUCCCGAGGAAGUGGGGGCUAGCGGGAGGGAGUGUCCUGCCUGGUAGGCCCAGCCCUCUGACUUUGGCCUUGGUCAAACAACUACAAACACAGCUGAGUGUGAGGUUCCGCUGGGAGCUGUGAGGAGAACUUUGGAGGACCCUCGGGUGCCACUGGAACUCACAGCCAGUGGCAUCCUGAGCCUUUGAAGUCUUUUUUUAAGACUGGCUGGCCAGACUUGUAACGAGUUGAGUUCACAGUUCCCAGAGGGGCAGCAAGGUGUCCUGGAUGCUGCCUGGUUGGCUGCCCUGUGUGGACAGAUACCCAAGGUUUGGAGGUUGCAAGGUCAAGGAUGUCGGAGGUUUGUGGCUCCUGUAGAAAGCACAGGCGGAUCCGCAGGGUUCUCCCUGUAUUGGAGAGCCAGGGACCCGCAGGCACUCUCCUGCCUGAGGCAGCUGUGAGACUACCACGGCUACUCUGAAAAGCAGGCCAGACAACAUCCAUGCAUGUUGGGCUGAAAGUAGACACAGAAACCCCCCCACCCCGACCCCAGCACAUGCUGUCCCCUGCAGACCCGGGAAAGAGAUCAUGGGAAGUCCUUUUCUCCAAGGCGUCCUUGGCUCCACCCCAAGGCCUAUCAACAGUCAUAGCGUACGUUCCCUAAACAGAGUGGUUUUGAGGGACGGCACAUUGUCCAUCCGUGAAGACCAGCUAACCACAGUUAGGUGCCAUUGCACCUAAUGACACGGAUGUCACCCACAGGCACACAGCUGAGUGGACAAGGCCAAUGCAAAACGAAGAGAGCAUCAUGUCUUUAAUGGGAGGUUCAAGCGAAGCAAAACAAAACCAUAUCUUCAGGGAUGCACGCCUCAAAGGGGACACACAGGGAGAAAUGAUGAUACAGUUCAGAAUAAGACCAACCUGUGUGUGUGUCGGGGGUGGGGGUGGGGGGGGGCAGGUCAGCACUGGUCAAGGUUUCCCAGGGUGGAUGAAGAGUCCUGGACAGUGUUCUCUUUAACCUGGUGGUGGUGACAAGGAUGUUUGCUUUAUAAUUAUUCAUUAAACUGCUGAGUUUACAUGUA